rnacentral:rRNA from 1 species
AGGAAAGCGAGCGGCGGAUGGGUGAGUAACACGUGGGGAACCUGCCCCAUAGUCUGGGAUACCACUUGGAAACAGGUGCUAAUACCGGAUAAGAAAGCAGAUCGCAUGAUCAGCUUUUAAAAGGCGGCGUAAGCUGUCGCUAUGGGAUGGCCCCGCGGUGCAUUAGCUAGUUGGUAAGGUAAAGGCUUACCAAGGCGAUGAUGCAUAGCCGAGUUGAGAGACUGAUCGGCCACAUUGGGACUGAGACACGGCCCAAACUCCUACGGGAGGCAGCAGUAGGGAAUCUUCCACAAUGGACGCAAGUCUGAUGGAGCAACGCCGCGUGAGUGAAGAAGGUUUUCGGAUCGUAAAGCUCUGUUGUUGGUGAAGAAGGAUAGAGGUAGUAACUGGCCUUUAUUUGACGGUAAUCAACCAGAAAGUCACGGCUAACUACGUGCCAGCAGCCGCGGUAAUACGUAGGUGGCAAGCGUUGUCCGGAUUUAUUGGGCGUAAAGCGAGCGCAGGCGGAAGAAUAAGUCUGAUGUGAAAGCCCUCGGCUUAACCGAGGAACUGCAUCGGAAACUGUUUUUCUUGAGUGCAGAAGAGGAGAGUGGAACUCCAUGUGUAGCGGUGGAAUGCGUAGAUAUAUGGAAGAACACCAGUGGCGAA